rnacentral:rRNA from 1 species
AUUGAACGCUGGCGGCAUGCCUUACACAUGCAAGUCGAACGGUAACGGGCCUUCGGGUGCCGGCGAGUGGCGAACGGGUGAGUAAUGCAUCGGAACGUACCUUUCAGUGGGGGAUAACGUAGCGAAAGUUACGCUAAUACCGCAUAUUCUGUGAGCAGGAAAGCAGGGGAUCGCAAGACCUUGCGCUGAUUGAGCGGCCGAUGUCAGAUUAGCUAGUUGGUGAGGUAAAGGCUCACCAAGGCGACGAUCUGUAGCGGGUCUGAGAGGAUGAUCCGCCACACUGGAACUGAGACACGGUCCAGACUCCUACGGGAGGCAGCAGUGGGGAAUUUUGGACAAUGGGGGCAACCCUGAUCCAGCCAUGCCGCGUGAGUGAAGAAGGCCUUCGGGUUGUAAAGCUCUUUCGGCCGGGAAGAAAUCGUAUGGGUUAAUACCCUGUGCGGAUGACGGUACCGGGCAUAAGAAGCACCGGUUAACUACGUGCCAGCAGCCGCCGGU